UCGAGAAUCUUCCGCAAUGGGCGAAAGCCUGACGGAGCGACGUCGCGUGAUUGAUGAAGUCUUUCGGGAUGUAAAGAUCUUUUAUGUGGGAGGAAGUUUAUUGACGUUACCACAUGAAUAAGGGGUUGCUAAACUCGUGCCAGCAGCAGCGGUAAUACGAGUGCCCCGAGCGUUAUCCGGAUUCACUGGGCGUAAAGGGUGUGUAGGUGGUCUAAUUAGUCUUCUGUUAAAACUCGGGGCUCAACCUCGAGGUCGCAGGGGAAACGGUUAGACUAGAGAAUGUGAGGGGUGUACGGAACUCAUGGUGUAGGGGUGAAAUCCGUUGAUAUCAUGGGGAACACCAAAAGCGAAGGCAGUACACUGGCACAUUUCUGACACUGAGACACGAAAGCGUGGGUAGCGAAAGG
rnacentral:rRNA from 1 species